AUCUUCUAAUGGUCAGUAUGAGUGUGCUGAGUGAGCAUCAUAACUGCUGGUGUCUCAACUUCAAAAUGAUUAUCACAGACCUGUCAGUCGCUAGAUAUCAUGGAAAUGGUUUUACAUGUGUCGUAUGUCAUCAGCAGUGAUGGGAUCAGUUCAGUUCAGGUGGAAACGCUGAAUAUCAUCAACUCCUCUGUGAUCAGCUUUCUCAUCAUCAGAACUGAAGGAAGAUCAUAGAUGUCGCUGUAAAACCUUUUACUGGAGAAAAAGUCCAAUAUCUGAUGAUUGUGAACCAAAGAUCUGAAGUUAUAUGGAGUGACGUCUCUCUCUGGUUUCAAAGGUGAUUCACUGAUUCUGAUUUUAAAGACAUCACAGAGAAACAAACAUCUUUUUUAAAAGGGAGGUUCUAAUGAUUUGCGACACAGUUAUGAUGCUGAGAUUAAGAAUUCAGGUUGACAUAUUUUGAUAUAAACUGUGUCCCUCAGGUGACAGCGGUUGACAACUUGGACGUUAGACUUUAGUUAAAUCAAGAACACUAAAAGCUAUAAACAGAAUCAGCAGAGUGACUGUGACAGUGUCAUUGCGGAACAUUGGAUCAUCGGGAACCACUGGACUAAACUAGGUAUGGAGUAUUUAUACACUGCUGUAUUGAUUAUUAUCUGAAUAUUUCUUACACCACUGCACAUGUCGAUGUUUUAUUUAGACUGAGGCUGUGAAGA